rnacentral:rRNA from 1 species
GAUGAACGCUGGCGGCGUGCCUAAUACAUGCAAGUCGAGCGAACAGACGAGGAGCUUGCUCCUCUGACGUUAGCGGCGGACGGGUGAGUAACACGUGGAUAACCUACCUAUAAGACUGGGAUAACUUCGGGAAACCGGAGCUAAUACCGGAUAAUAUAUUGAACCGCAUGGUUCAAUAGUGAAAGACGGUUUUGCUGUCACUUAUAGAUGGAUCCGCGCCGCAUUAGCUAGUUGGUAAGGUAACGGCUUACCAAGGCAACGAUGCGUAGCCGACCUGAGAGGGGGAUCGGCCCAACUGGAAAAGAGAACCGGUCCCGACCCCUACGGGGGGCAGCAGGUGGGAAUCUUGCGCAAUGGGCGGAAGCCUGAACGAGCCAACCCGCGUGGGGGAAGAAGGCCUUCGGGUUGUAAAACCCUUUUUUUUGGGAAGAAAAAAAGGUGAAGAAAACCUUGCAGUUCUGACGGUACCCAAAGAAAAAGCCCCGGCUAACUUCGUG